AUUGAACGCUGGCGGCAGGCCUAACACAUGCAAGUCGAGCGAGCGGCGGACGGGUGAGUAAUGUAUGGGGACUGCCCGAUAGAGGGGGAUAACUACUGGAAACGGUAGCUAAUACCGCAUACUAUCGGAUAACCCAUAUGGGAUUAGCUCGUAGGUGAGGUAAUGGCUCACCUGGGCGACGAUCACUAGCUGGUCUGAGAGGAUGAUCAGCCACACUGGGACGGAGACACGGCCCAGACUCCUACGGAGGCAGCAGUGGGGAAUAGUGGAAAAUGGGCGAAAGCCGGAUGCAGCCAUGCGGCGUGUAUGAAGAAGGCCCUAGGGUUGUAAAGUACUUUCAGUAGGGAGGCGUUACCGACAGAAGAAGCAACGGCUAACUCCGUGCCAGCAGCCGCGGUAAUAC
rnacentral:rRNA from 1 species